rnacentral:lncRNA from 1 species
AUUGCGAAAGGUGCGGGAGAUGAGGGCGAGCCAUGGGUGUGUGGAGAGUGGCAGACGACAGAUUAUUUGAAGGGAAACAUCGUCCGGGAAGCAUGGCAGCAGAUGCUGCUCUUCUGAAGGAACAACGGCGGAUGAGAUCAUCAAUCAGGUGAGGUUUUAAGAAUGGUUAUCAAGAACUUCUUUUCGAUUCAUUAUAGAAAUUAUCUUUAAUAUACUUAUUUUCGAGGGAAGGAGGUUCAUGCAAAAAUACCAAAAUACACGACAUGGAAUUGACUUUUCUAAUGAUUUAGGGGAAUUAAAGGGAGCGGUGAGGUGAGUCUGUAGCAUCCGCGACGGCAUUUCACUCCCCGGAAGAAAAAUACGAUUUAGUGAGUGGACAGCAUUUAAAAUAAAGAUUCCGGUAGAAUUUCAUAUUAAUCAAACACAUGAAAGUAAGUAGUUCCAAUAGAUGAUUUUUUUUAACAGAUUUUUUUUAAAAAUAGGGAAUAAGCAAAAGAAUGGAGGACACGAGUGGCAGCAGAAUGAGGAAGGGAAGCUUUACCAUAACUGAUUUUCCCGAUGAGGUAUUUUCAGAAGUGUUCGACGAAGAAUCCGGCGCGGCACCUAAAACCGGAGAUGGUUCUGAUCC